rnacentral:sRNA from 1 species
UGGUAGAUGCACCCUGGUUAAGCCUUAGAGGGAUUUCUCUCUAGGGCUUUUUUUG